AUGGCGCAGGGUUUUGCAGUGAGCUUCGACCCACUGGGCCUCAGAGAACUCAGCUCGGGCUCUCUGAGCUCCCUCUCCUCCCGCGGCCACCUGGGCAGCGACUCGGGCUCCGCAAUGCGAUACCUGCUGAAGAAGCAGCAGCGGCUGCUGAACGGGCCCCCCCGCGGAAUCCGAGCCUCCUCACCCAUGGGCCGCGUCAUCCUCAUCAACUCCCCCAUCGAAGCCAACAGUGAUGAAAGCGACAUCAUCCAUGCUGUCCGGGUGGAGAAGAGCCCAGCAGGGAGACUGGGUUUCAGUGUGCGGGGCGGCUCUGAGCAUGGCCUGGGCAUCUUCGUCAGCAAGGUGGAGGAGGGGAGCAGUGCAGAGCGGGCUGGCCUGUGCGUGGGGGACAAGAUCACGGAGGCGAAUGGGCUGAGCCUGGAGAGCACCACCAUGGGCAGUGCCGUGAAAGUGCUGACGGGCAGCAGCUGCCUGCACAUGAUGGUGAGGCGCAUGGGCCGCGUGCCGGGCAUCAAAUUCUCCAAGGAGAAGACCACGUGGGUGGAUGUGGUGAAUCGGCGGCUGGUAGUGGAGAAGUGUAGCUCGACGCCAUCCGACAGCGGCUCGGAGGACGGGGUGAGGCGCAUCGUCCACCUGUACACCACGUCAGACGACUUCUGUCUGGGCUUCAACAUCCGCGGGGGCAAGGAGUUUGGCCUGGGCAUCUAUGUGUCCAAAGUGGAUCAUGGUGGGCUGGCUGAAGAGAACGGCAUCAAGGUGGGGGACCAGGUCCUGGCGGCCAACGGUGUCAGGUUCGACGACAUCAGCCACAGCCAGGCUGUGGAGGUGCUGAAGGGCCAAACGCACAUCAUGUUGACUAUCAAGGAGACUGGCCGGUACCCUGCCUACAAAGAGAUGGUUUCUGAGUACUGCUGGCUGGACCGAUUGAGCAACGGGGCACUGCGGCAGCUGUCCCCCGCCUCGGAGAGCAGCUCGAGCGGCUCCUCCUAUGCCUCCAGCGCCCCCUGCAGCUCGGCCGAGGGCUCCCUGCCCUCCCAGUGCCUGGAUGUCGGCCUGGGGCCUGAGGAGCCGUGCAGUCAGGGCCCAGGCUGGGGGCGGGCGGACACAGCCAUGCAGACGGAGCCGGACGUGGGUGGCCGCGUGGAGACCUGGUGCAGCGUGAGGCCCACCGUCAUUCUCAGGGACACAGCCAUCCGCUCCGACGGCCCCCGGCCUGCCCGCCGCCUGGAUUCUGUGCUCUCCGAGUCCCCUAAGACUGCUCUGCUGCUGGCCCUGAGCCGACCCCGGCCCCCCAUCACGAGGUCCCAGAGCCACCUGACCUUGUGGGAGGAGAAGAAGCAGCGGAAGAAGGAGAAGUUGGGGUCCUCCGGGGAAAAGGGGGCCCUGCAGCGCUCCAAGACACUGAUGCACCUCUUCUUCAAGGGAGGGCGGCAGGGGUGGCUGGCAGGGCACGGGCACAGAGAGGCCUGGACGCUGGACGGAGGGAGCCCAGCCAAGCCCCGCCCUCGCCUAGAGGCGGAGAAAGCAGGGGCAGUGGGGCCUGUGCAGAAGUUUGUCACCUGGAGACUGAGACGCGAGCGGGAGAGGGGCCCGACCCUGCUCUCUGCUAGGUCCAGGAGCCCCUCCAGCCAGCUGCCCAACAUGGAUGAGCAGGUGCAAGCCUGGGAGAGCCAACGGCCCCUUAUUCAGGACUUGGCCCGACGGCUGCUGACUGACGACGAGGUGCUGGCAGUCACCCGUCACUGCUCCCGGUACGUGCACGAGGGCGGCGUGGAGGACCUCGUCAGGCCCCUGCUGGCCAUUCUGGACAGGCCCGCGAAGCUGCUGCUACUGAGGGACAUCAGGAGCGUGGUGGCCCCCACCGACCUCGGCCGCUUCGACAGCAUGGUGAUGCCCGUGGAGCUGGAGGCUUUUGAGGCCCUUAAGAGCCGGGCAGUACGGCCUCCUGCCUUGCGACCAGCCCGGCAGGAUACACCACCCAAGCGUCACCUCGUCACGCCUGUGCCUGACAGACGUGGAGGUUUCUACCUGCUGCCUGUGAAUGGCUUCUCAGAGGAGGAAGACGAUGGGGAGCUGAGGGAGAGGCUGGGGGGCCUCCAGCUCUCCCUGGGUGCCUCUGCUCCCCGCCACCCUCAUAAAGGGAUCCCCCCUCUCCAAGACGUGCCAGUAGACGCCUUUGCCCCACACCGAAGCUCCUGCACACCCCCUCCCCAGCCACCCCCUGUCACUCCCCGGCCCCCAAGGCCUAACUGGCUGCUGACAGAACCCUUGACCCCAGAGGACCCUCGGCAGGGUCAGAGCCAGAGCCAGAGCCAGAGCCAGGGCCCUGCCCAGAGCCACAGCUGCGGCCGGGGUCGAGGCAAGUCCCCCGGACGCAGACGCUCCCCAUCCCCAGUGCCUGUCCCCACCCCCAGCAUGGCCAACGGGCGCUACCACAAGCCUCGGAAGGCCAGGCCCCCUCUGCCACGACCUGUGGAUGAGCAGGCAGCCAAGGUGGGGGGCCGUCAAGGCCCCUCCGAGAAUGGAACUGGCGGGACAGCCAGGGAGGCAGCCAAGAAGGCCCCUGGCGGGGAGCUGAGGACAGUCACGCUGUCCAAGAUGAAGCAGUCCUUGGGCAUCAGCAUUUCUGGGGGCAUUGAGUCCAAGGUGCAGCCCAUGGUGAAGAUAGAAAAGAUCUUUCCUGGGGGGGCUGCCUUCCUCAGUGGGGCCCUGCAGGCUGGCUUCGAGCUUGUGGCAGUGGAUGGAGAGAGCCUGGAGCAGGUGACCCACCAGCGAGCAGUAGAUACCAUCCGCCGAGCUUAUCGAAACAAGGCUCGGGAGCCCAUGGAGCUUGUGGUCAGGGUCCCCGGGACCAGUCCACUACCCUUACCCCCUGACUUGUCAGCCCUCACCAAUCAGCGCCUUCCUGCUGACCACUCCUCCGCCCGCCGACCCCUUGAUGGUACUCCUUCCCUCCCACUGCCUCCCAGAACCUCCCAUUAAUGCUCUGCCCACCAAUAUCCAGAUUCCUCCCACCGACGCCAGGCUCCUCCAUCAGACCGACAGCCCAGUCCCUUCUCUAGCCCUCCAGACUCCUGAUACUAACCCCAGACUCUCCCCACCUAUGCUAUGA